rnacentral:tRNA from 1 species
UCCCUGGUGGCUCAGAAGGUAAAGCGUCUGCCCGCAAUGCAGGAGACCUGGGUUCGAUUCCUGGGUUGGGAA